AGCAAGGGGUCUUGCGUCUUACAUCAGUUCGCGCUGGUGAUUGCAUGCGUGUGGCGUGGUCAUGCCAUCUGCACACGUGUGGCGUAGCUCCAUAAGCCCACCUGUGCCUUAAAAAGCCAGACACAGACUCUUCCUCUGCUCUGUUCUCUCCUGCCCCCCCCUCCCCCUCUCUCUGCUCCCUGCACGUGCUUCUCCCCCAGGCCUGGGUCUUUUGUGCCACCCCUCCCCCCAAUAAAGCUCCGAUACUGGGUUUCGUCAUGGCUCGUGCCUCAUGACCUUUCUGCAUGGUAACCAGCACUGCUUAUCAUUGGUGCUGUAACGAGACAGGCUCUUCCAGAGCUCUGUGUCCCGGGCUCUGCGACCUGAAUCCUGUACUGUGACUGCCCGCUCCACUUUUUCAUCUGCCCAGCCUGGGGACCACUCCUCACAACACACCGGCUAACCAGAUUGCAUCCUGUCAGCCACAAAAGCAGCCAGAGUGCCAAGCCAAGAAAGAUGAACGGCUCCGAGGUAGCAGAUGACAGCCCACCAUCCCAGGACGCCUGUCUACCUCGGAAGCCCCCUUCCCUACAUCCCCCUCCCCAAGAGUCAACUGACACCCACCAAGUCAGCUGGAAGCAGUUUUUCUGGGAGAAACAAUGCCCCUAUUCCUGUUCACCCACUUUUUUGUAAUAAGCAAAAAGUCUGGAAUGUUAGGAUUCUGCCCCCACUCCAAUUGCAUGAUCACACAUGUGCAGUUCAGGAGCUAAGCAAGGGGUCUUGCAUCUUACAUUGUCAGUGUGCGCUGGUGAUUACGUGUGCAUGGUGGCAGCGGCGGUGGUGGCAGCAGUGGCAUGGUCACAAUCAUGCGUAGCUCCGUAAGCCCACCUGUGCCUUAAAAAGCCAGACACAGACUCCUCCUCUUCCUCUGCUCUCUUCUCUCCUGCCCCCCCCCUCCCUCUCUCUGCUCCCUGCACGUGCUUCUCCCCCAGGCCUGGGUCUUUUGUGCCACCCCUCCUAAUUAAGCUCUGAUACUGGGUUUCGUCAUGGCUCGUGCCUCAUGACCUUUCUGCCUGGUAACCAGCACCGCUUGUCAUUUUUAACAGAGAGAGGGCCCCUCUCAGGACUCAGCUUUCUCCUUCCACCAUAUGAGACCCGGGAAUCAAAGUUAAGUUGUCAGGCUUGGCAAGCACCUUAGCCUGCUGAGUUUAAGGUUAAAACCUUCAGUGAUGGCCAGACUUGGUGGCACAGGCCUGCACUCCCAGCUCGUGGGAGGAGGAGGCAGGAGCAGGGAGUAAGAGGUCAUUCCUGACUAUCUCGGGAGUUCCAGACAGGCCUAGCCUACAGAGUGAGGUCCUGCAGACUGUGGUUUCCCAGGCCUAGAAGGACUUGAAGAAGCCACUGUCAAGGGCUGUGAUCUUCGGGAGGUGUUGGGGAUGUCUUAGCAUGAUUAUAAUUGCUCAUCAUUGCUGGAUACAAAACCCUGAAUAUAUGAAUGAAUAUGGCAGGGUAUGUAAAGUCUAUCUCAAUAAAGCUAUUUAAAAAAUGA